GGACCGUUGGAGUAGUGGAGAACUCGCCAGGCUCUCAACCUGGAGACCGCCGGUUCGAUUCCGGCACGGUCUG
rnacentral:tRNA from 1 species